rnacentral:rRNA from 1 species
UAGUUGGUGAGGUAACGGCUCACCAAGGCAACGAUACAUAGCCGACCUGAGAGGGUGAUCGGCCACACUGGGACUGAGACACGGCCCAGGCUCCUACGGGAGGCAGCAGUAGGGAAUCUUCGGCAAUGGGGGCAACCCUGACCGAGCAACGCCGCGUGAGUGAAGAAGGUUUUCGGAUCGUAAAGCUCUGUUGUAAGAGAAGAACGAGUGUGAGAGUGGCAAGUUACACACCUGGGACGGAUUACUAACCAGAAAGGGACGGCAAUAUACGUGCCAGCCACCGCGUUAAUAGUUAGGUCCGAGCUUAUCGGAUUUAUGGGCGUAAGAGGCGGAGCCCACAGCGCGGUUAGUAUAAUUUGUGAAUUUAAGAGGCCUCGGUCUUAACCAUAUACGCUUGGAAACUGUUUGACUUGAGUGCAGAAGGGGAGAGUGGAAUUCCAUGUGUAGCGGUGAAAUGCGUAGAUAUAUGGAGGAA